AAAGGUGGUAAUGCCGGAUGCUCCAGUUGAUCGCAUGGUCUUCUGGGAAAGCUUUCGCGGUAUGGGAUGGGGUCGCGUCCUAUCAGCUUGACGGCGGGGUAACGGCCCACCGUGGCUUCGACGGGUAGCCGGCCUGAGAGGGCGACCGGCCACAUUGGGACUGAGAUACGGCCCAGACUCCUACGGGAGGCAGCAGUGGGGAAUAUUGCACAAUGGGCGCAAGCCUGAUGCAGCGACGCCGCGUGAGGGAUGGAGGCCUUCGGGUUGUAAACCUCUUUUAUCGGGGAGCAAGCGAGAGUGAGUUUACCCGUUGAAUAAGCACCGGCUAACUACGUGCCAGCAGCCGCGGUAAUACGUAGGGUGCAAGCGUUAUCCGGAAUUAUUGGGCGUAAAGGGCUCGUAGGCGGUUCGUCGCGUCCGGUGUGAAAGUCCAUCGCUUAACGGUGGAUCCGCGCCGGGUACGGGCGGGCUUGAGUGCGGUAGGGGAGACUGGAAUUCCCGGUGUAACGGUGGAAUGUGUAGAUAUCGGAAAGAACACCAAA
rnacentral:rRNA from 1 species